UGCAGAUGAUGUGAAAGAAUAUUUGCUAACUGAACAGCAAUGUUGACACCCACCAAGAUCACUGAUGCA
ensembl:snoRNA SNORD24 Small nucleolar RNA SNORD24